UACGUAGGAUGCGAGCGUUGUUCGGAAUUAUUGGGCGUAAAGCGUGCGUAGGCGGCUGUCUAAGUCUGGUGUUAAAGCUAGGGGCUCAACCCCUGUGAUGCACUGGAAACUGGGCGGCUUGAGUGCGGUAGGGGAAGGCGGAAUUCCGAGUGUAGCGGUGAAAUGCGUAGAUAUUCGGAAGAACACCGGUGGCGAAGGCGACCUUCUGGGCCGCAACUGACGCUGAGGCACGAAAGCCUGGGGAGCAAACGGG
rnacentral:rRNA from 1 species